CACAUAUCAAUUUCAUAAUUCAAUAGAAUUACAGACAGAAGCCUACAGCCAAAAGUCUACAAAAGACCGGCUCUUAAAAAGGAACUGUUCUACGACCUACAAGUCGGACACGUUCUCCAAUCUUAUGACUUCACCUCUGCAACUCCUCAAGGCCAACCAAAGCUAUCUGGUCGCUCCGUCCACCAGGGACCUGAAAUUUUAAUCCCACAACCGGGAUGAGACGAUGUCUCAGCAAGUUCAACCCCCUAAACCCCUAUUAGAAAGAAAAUACGCCCCGGGGUGCCUAGCCACAUCACACAGAAGACUUACCUCGCCUCAGCCUUUAUUCUGCAGGUUAGCACAAUUUAUAUAAACCAACCACGUGCAAUUAUGAUAACCAAACAACCAUGGCACAAUCACAUUAUCAAACAAUUCAACCACUUGGAUCGUCUCAGCGAUCAAUCGACUCGGCCGAUUACAUGUCAAUUCAAUCAUUACUCUUAAUCACGGCCCCACUCGGCAGAAUUAAAAUCAGUGGCAUCACGGCCCCACUUGGCGCGACCUUUAUCAGGUGGCAUAUCACGGCCCCACUGGGCGCGACCUCUAAUAGGUGGCAUAUCACGGCCCCACUGGGCGCGACCUCUAAUAGGUGGCAUAUCACGGCCCCAUCAGGCACGACCUGUAAUAGGUGGCAUAUCACGGCCCCAUCGGGCGCGACCUCUAAUAGGUGGCAUAUCACGACCAAUCACCCAUAAAUUUCCACACUUAGAAUUUUAUAAAGAAUCCAUAUUUAUUACAAUCAACACUCAAUUCGCCACAUCCAUUCAUCAAAUUCAAAUUCUAAAUGCACAACAGCGAUCGGCACGAAAUUCUGAGCAAAUAAGGUCCCAACGAAAUUUUCGAAUUUUAAUAAAUAAUUAAAUUUAUUCCGAAAAUUAAUUAAAUAAUAAUAUUCAUAUUUUUUGCAAUCCACAUUCAAUUUAUAAUAUCUGACCAUCAAUUUCAAAAUCCGAAUACACAGCAGCGACCGGCACGAAAUUCUGAGAAUUUAGGGUCCCGACAAAAUUUUCGGAAUUUAAUAAAUAACUAAAUUUAUUCCGAAAAUAAUUAAAUAAUCAUAUUUUAAUUUCGAAUAAUGAUAUAUUAUUAAAUUAUUAAAUAAUUUCGAAAUGUUUAAAUAAAUCAAAAGUAAAUUCCUUUAUGUCACAUCAAGGUUUAUUUUAAAAAUAAACAUACUUAACCCUUAAACUAAACAUGCUUUAACUUAAUUAAACAUCCUAAUCUAAUCAUCAACCAAAUAAACUAAUCUAGCCACCUAAACUUGCUUAACUUAGACUAAGCACACUUAGGGCAUCAUUAACCCUCUAAUCAAGAUUUAGUGAGUUAAACUCACCGGAUUAACGAGCCGAGCGAACCAAAACGACGGGGACGACGCGAGGAUCGACUUUCCUCAAAGCGGGCCGAGCAUCCGGGCUCGGGAAGGCGGCCAAAACGGGCCACGAAACCGCUGCAUACCCAUUUUCUGCGACUUCCGGUGGCUGCUGGUUGGGGGCGGAUCCGGCGGCGAUUCGGCGGAGGAACGCCGGAG
rnacentral:lncRNA from 1 species